UGAGCAAUCUGCCCUUCUCAUCGGAAUAAGCGUUGGAAACGACGUCUAAUGCCGAAUACGACCUCCUUUCGCAUGAUCGGAGGUGGAAAGCUCCGGCGGAGAAGGAUGAGCUCGCGGCCUAUCAGCUAGUUGGUGUGGGUAAUGGCCCACAAGGCGACGACGGGUAGCCGGCCUGAGAGGGUCGACCCGGCCACACGUGGGACUGAGACACGGCCCAGACCUCCGUACGGGAGCAG
rnacentral:rRNA from 1 species